UACGUAGGGUGCAAGCGUUGUCCGGAAUUAUUGGGCGUAAAGAGCUCGUAGGCGGUCUGUCGCGUCGGCUGUGAAAACUCGGGGCUCAACCCCCGAGCCUGCAGUCGAUACGGGCAGACUAGAGUGCUGUAGGGGAGACUGGAAUUCCUGGUGUAGCGGUGAAAUGCGUAGAGAUCAUGAGGAAGACCAGUGGCGAAGGCGGGUCUCUGGACAGUUCCUGACACUGAGGCACGAAGGCCAGGGGAGCAAACGGG
rnacentral:rRNA from 1 species